GCUUUGCUUUGAAUAUAGGGCGGUGUUGGGCAACUCUAGCAGUCCGUAAUGGUUGACGUGGUCGUGCAAGAGUCGUGUAAAUUCAAUAUUCUGUUCCCACAGUAUACAAAACAAAAAAAAAGUCUGCAUUGACUUUAAUCAUAUUGGUUUCUUGAAUAUGAUCUAAAAUCAAAGGCAAGUCCUUCUAGAAUUAAGAAGACGACAAUGGAAGAGUCACUUCUUCUGAGAGAGGAGCAUAUAGUUUCUUGCAAGGCCACAUGGCAAAGUAGUCAAGUCACUGUCGAGCUGAAGAAAGUGAGCCGCUUGGCCGCUCCUAUGGCCACCGUGACCAUUGCUCAGUACUUGUUGCCUGUCGUCUCAGUCAUGGUCGCUGGUCACUACGGCGAGCUCCAGCUCUCCGGCGUCGCUCUUGCAACCUCCUUCACAAACGUCACCGGUUUUAGUAUUAUGUAUGGAUUAGUUGGUGCACUAGAAACUCUUUGUGGCCAAGCUUAUGGAGCCAAGCAAUACGAAAAAAUCGGAACCUACACAUACUCUUCAAUUGUUUCCAACAUGCCAAUUUGUUUCCUCAUAUCCAUUCUCUGGAUUUACAUCGAAAAGCUCUUGAUCUCUCUCGGACAAGACCCUGACAUCGCUAGAGUGGCUGGCUCCUAUGCCUUUUGGCUCAUACCGGCUUUGUUCGCCCACGCUGUUGUCUUACCACUGACUCGGUUUCUUCUGGCACAAGGGUUGGUUCUUCCUCUGCUCUACUCUGCCGUAGCCACCCUUUUGUUCCACAUCCUGGGUAUCUGGACUUUGGUUUUCGUAUUUGGUUUUGGAAGCAAUGGAGCUGCCAUGGCAAUUAGUGUUUCUUUCUGGUUUUACGUUGUGGUAGUUGCAUGUUACGUGAGAUUCUCCAGAUCUUGCGAGGAGACUCGCGGAUUUGUGUCCGAAGAUUUUGUGUCUUGUAUCGAACAGUAUUUCCAAUAUGGAGUCCCUUCAGCAGGAUUAAUUUGCCUAGAAUGGUGGCUGUUUGAGCUGCUCAUACUCAGCUCAGGUCUUCUCCCAAACCCAAAACUCGAGACCUCUGUUCUUUCGAUUUGUCUUACAACAGGAACUUUGCACUAUGUGAUUCCUGCUGGGAUCGCGGCAGCUGUGAGUACACGAGUGUCAAACAAACUGGGAGCUGGUAAUCCUCAAGUUGCUAGGGUUUCAGUAAUGGCAGGGCUUUGUCUCUGGCUAGUAGAGUCAGCAAUCUUUAGCACACUUCUCUUUACAUGCCGAAACAUUGUAGGCUACGCAUUUAGCAACAGCGAAGAAGUGGUUGACUAUGUGGCGGACAUAUCUCCUUUGCUAUGUCUCUCCUUCAUUCUCGACGGUUUCACUGCAAUUCUCAAUGGGGUUGCUAGGGGAAGUGGCUGGCAACACAUUGGAGCUUUGAUCAACGUGGUGGCUUAUUAUCUAGUAGGAGCUCCGGUUGGAGUUUACUUAGGUUUCAGUCGUGAGUGGAAUGGAAAAGGACUGUGGUGUGGUGUUGUGGUAGGAUCCGCUGUGCAAGCCAUUAUAUUGGCUAUCGUGACAGCUUCCAUGAACUGGAAGAAACAGGCUGAGAAGGCAAGGAAGAGAAUAAUCUCAACUGAAAAUGGAUUGGCUUAAAGAAAAAGGGUGUUUCUGAUGAGAUAUCUCAAAAUAUUUUAAUAUAUUCCAAAAUGAUGAUAUUGGACGACUGCUACUGACCACGACGUCCAUUACCUUUAAGAUUUUUCUUAACCAAAUUGUCUUUUGACCACUCGUUAGGGAUAUUCAUAUUGCUGGUGAGUUCACAGUCCAAAGAUGAUAUCGUAGAAGAAACAAAUGGGAAGAUUUGCUUGGAAUGUGAAAGGACGAUGGGUUGCAGACAAGAUGAAGGUUUCAUGAAAAGAUGAGAGAUUGUGGAGAGAGAUGAAGAUCCGUAAAAAGUGAUUUUUGAGAGAAAAAAGAAGUACUUAAAAGAAUAAUAAACUUAGAAGGAUAAACUCGUAUUUUUAUUUUGCUCUUAUGACAGGCGGGAGAAGGAAUAAACAAAAGUGGCAUUUCUCAAAAAAAGUUGUCACUGUACAUGGCAUAAAUAAUAAAUUUCUCUUUUUUUUCUUAACAUUAGACCACAAUAAGCUGAUCUAUUAGCCAAAUUUUUACAUUUAUUGGGAGUGAGGUU